rnacentral:rRNA from 1 species
AGUGAACGCUGGCGGUAGGCCUAACACAUGCAAGUCGAACGGCAGCACAGUAAGAGCUUGCUCUUACGGGUGGCGAGUGGCGGACGGGUGAGGAAUACAUCGGAAUCUACUUUUUCGUGGGGGAUAACGUAGGGAAACUUACGCUAAUACCGCAUACGACCUACGGGUGAAAGCAGGGGAUCUUCGGACCUUGCGCGAUUGAAUGAGCCGAUGUCGGAUUAGCUAGUUGGCGGGGUAAAGGCCCACCAAGGCGACGAUCCGUAGCUGGUCUGAGAGGAUGAUCAGACACACUGGAACUGAGACACGGUCCAGACUCCUACGGGAGGCAGCAGUGGGGAAUAUUGGACAAUGGGCGCAAGCCUGAUCCAGCCAUACCGCGUGGGUGAAGAAGGCCUUCGGGUUGUAAAGCCCUUUUGUUGGGAAAGAAAAGCAGCAUGUUAAUACCCCGCUGUUCUGACGGUACCCAAAGAAUAAGCACCGGCUAACUUCGUG